CGUCGGGUAGAGGAUGCAGAGUUGGACCAUGCGAUCAACCUUUUUAGUGAUUCUAGUCCUCUCUGCCUGUGAUGCAAUUCUUAGGUAACCUGGGCCAAAUGCUCCCCAAGCUAUCUAAAUUUCCAAACAAGGGUGAAGCCAAUGAAAUGCAAGGAGAUCAAAGAUUGGCUCUUUAAUGUUUUUCGGUGAAGAUACAAGGGAAAUGCC
rnacentral:lncRNA from 1 species